rnacentral:rRNA from 1 species
UUGUGAUGAUGCAAUCUACCCGCGGCUAGACGGAAAGACCCCAUGAACCUUUACUGUAGCUUUGCAUUGGACUUUGAACCAAUCUGUGUAGGAUAGGUGGGAGGCUUUGAAGCGGGGACGCCAGUUCUCGUGGAGCCAUCCUUGAAAUACCACCCUGGUUUGUUUGAGGUUCUAACCUUGGCCCGUAAUCCGGGUCGGGGACAGUGCAUGGUAGGCAGUUUGACUGGGGCGGUCUCCUCCUAAAGUGUAACGGAGGAGUUCGAAGGUACGCUAGGUACGGUCGGACAUCGUGCUAAUAGUGCAAUGGCAUAAGCGUGCUUA